rnacentral:lncRNA from 1 species
ACUUCAACGGAUCUACAGUUAUGCCAUUAACUUUUGAUUCCUUCCCAUUUUACCCCUUAUAUCAAUUUUAAAGGACUAUUCUAUCCCUUUUUAUAUAAAAAAAAUUUUGGGGUUAUUACAUCCUCCCCUCCUUAUAUAAAAUUCGUCCUCGAAUUUAAAAGAGUAAAUUACCUGAUUACUCAAAGGGGUGAGUGUAUCUGGUCUUCAUAUUCUGCUCGGUGUGGUAUUGAGAAUCAAAUAAAUUAGGAGUGUUUUACCUUCUAUCUCUACCACAUAGGUAGGAUAUACAUACUUCGCUUCUAUACUAUCCUCUACAGGUGUAUUAAUAGCUAAGGGAAUAUGCAUCAAUAUCUUAUCCUUAGCUAACUUUUUAGCAAAAUAAGGGAACACAAAUGAAUGGGUAGCUCCAGAAUCAAAUAACACUCUAGCUUUAAUCUUAUCAAUGAGGAGCAUACCUGUCACAGCUGCAUUCGAUGCCUGUGCCUCCUGUGGAUUUACCGUGAACACCCUUCCUUGCCCUCUGCCUACU